GGAAAUGUAGUCCGCAUGGCGCCCAGCGGGAAGGCGGUGCCUUGCGGCGGAGGCCGGGAGCACGUGGUCCGGGGAUCAGCCGAGCCCAGGCAGCCUUAGGCCUAUUGCGGCCAAGUUCGACCGGCGAGAGGCGCUGCGGGGCAGCUUCCUAAGAGGACAUCUCUCUGGCCCAGACUGUCCUGACCACCAGACCCAGCCGCUGCCAGCCUCCUUGCCUUCUGAAACUGUCACGGGCACGUCAAGUUGAACAGGUCAAGCCACCUUUCCUCAAUACCCGCCCGGUAGAAGUCUCUGGGAGAACCACUCACCUGCCGCCUAGGCCCGGCCCGGAGGGGCAGCACAGAAGGGCCUCCUCGUCCAGGCUCCAUCUCUGUCAACACCAGGAGCUCCCAUCAGCUGUAGCCACCUGUUCCCCCACCCUCCUCUUGAGGCAGCUUGGAACAUGGAGAGAUGAGUUAUCCUCAGAGCAGGUCAUCCCUCCACUUCAGCUUCUCCAGACUCAUCGCACUCCUUAAGUUCGCAAGGCACCGAGCUGGGGCUUUCAAGGUCUGACUCGGCUCUAGCGGCCCCAGCCCCUCCGCUAGACCCACCGCUUCCCCUCCGCUGCCGCCUGGGGCUUGGAGUACAGACACACCUGCAAACACCGCUGCUCAGCCCGGCACAGCGAGGGCAGCGUGGUAGGAGGGGGUGCCAGGGGCUGAAGAAGAGGAGGGUCCCGGAGGAGGAAGGUUUGCACCGAGGGUUGAGAGAAAGUUGCUGAAAUGUUCAUGGCUGGAAUGGUACGAUGCCUGAGAUCUGUGUCCCAGUAACCAGCGGGGAGGGGAGGCUUGAGAGGAAGAGCAGAUUGAACAACACUGGCGUGCGUUGAUUCCUGGGGGCGGGAGGCGACACUGCGUGGGAGCUCAUUAGUCUCUCCUCUACUGUGAAUAUGUUUGACAAGUUCAUAAUAAAAGAGUGAGCAAAAACGUCUGCCAGGGUGCCUCUCUCUUGGACCAGGCAAUGCCCUUUCCCUGGGGAUCUUUUCUCAACCCCUCCCCCGUGCACACAGCACAGGGGCUCACAGCACUCUCCACUCCACGCCACCUGCACUGUCCACAGGCCGGGGCAGGACUCUGGGACCCGCACCAGGACCCCUGACUCUGGAUGCAGAAGGGCUGUCCUUCUCCCAACUCCCAUCUUUAUCUCUGUGCUCCCAAGGUUCUGCCCUGACCUUCGCACUUCCUCCUCUGAUGUCUCCCUGAGACAUCUCAUCCAUGCCUCCCUUGUGCUCACUGCUCGCAAACCUCCAUUUUCAGCCCAGAUUUCCCUGUUGUGGGAGACUGCUGUGUGAGCCCACUUCACCCUCUGGCCACUGCUCAGUCCCUUUCCUCUUCUCUCCUCCAGGCUUCCCCAGAGAAUGUUUAGUGGGAGCCGCACUCACUGUUCAGCCGCUGCACUCUGGCUUCGAAGUCCCUGCUCCUUUGAAACUGUGCUCAGCACAGCCCUCAAGGGCCCCCUAACUGGUACCUCCAAUGGCCGCGUCUCAGCACCUCUCCUAGGACUUCCAUGCCACAAUGGUGCCCUGCGCUGGUGAUUGUAGGCACGCCCUCCUUGGGUCUCCAGGAUCCUGCAUCUUCUGACCUUGUCUACUCUCUGUCCUCCUUUAUGAAUGCCUCUGAUAUCCCUCACUAACCCCCCCGCAUUCAGCCCUUGCCUCACUGUCUUCACAUCUCACACGUUCCCACUGGGCCUGGAAAAUGGGCUGUGAAGCAGUGGUGGGGCCAGGGUGCUGAAUGGUUCCCUUGCCCACUGAAGACACCCCGAGGGGCAGCAGGGAUCCUGCACCCAGGCACCAGCAUUUCAGGGAUUCCUCUAGGAUGCUGAGAAGCAAUAGUAAUAAGUAGGUGUAAAAACAUUACCAUUAAUAAUAAUGGCAAACACGUGCGGGCACUUACUAUGGCCAGGCCUUCUUUACACAUUAUCACACUGACUCUUUCCCAAACCUCUCAUUACCCCAUGUAUUGAUAAGGAAAGGAAGGUAUACAGACAGGCUGUGAACCCAGGCCAUCUGAUUUCUUCACCAGCACUGCUCAGCACUCCCAUGGAGGUGGUGCAGCAGAUGCCGCGAGUCGGAGCCAGAUGGUUCUGCAGGAUAAUGAAGGGGGUGGGGGUAAGACAACUGAGAGACACAGCAGGUGGAAGAGGGAACAGCCUCCACCAGUGCUUCAGGGAAGGCGGGUCCUUCCACCUCAUUCCGAAUGGAGGCCCUCUCCAGGCCUUGCUGAUUUAAAAUCCUAACCAGUUCUUGCCUCUGUCUUCCUGUCAUCACUGAACAGUUCCGGUGAAUUUUCAUCUCUUGCCUAGACUGCUGAGACAGCAUCCCAACUAGCUUCUGUUCCUGCCUGGACCCCUCUGUCAUGUUGGAGCCACAGUGACCCUACUAUGCACUCAUCCACAGCUGAAAACUGGUCCACAGCUCCCUCCUGCCUUCAGAGCAAAGUCCACUCUCCUUCCUAUGGCAGAGAAAGCCCUUCCUGAUCCAGCUACUGCCUCUCACCCUCUCCCUAAAGCCGUUACAUAAAGUUUACAUAAAAGGAAUAUGUAAGAGACCCAGUAAAGGAGUAAACAGAAGCCAGGAGGCACAUAAAAGCAGUGAGAGCAAUUUGGGGCGGGUGCUGGCAGGGGACGAGGCAGCAAGAAGGUAUGUGAAGAGAGGUAGAGAUGGAGAGACGGGUCUCUCCACGGGGUCCUGGUGAACAGGAGGCAGGGCUGGAGCACCACUGAGGGGUAAGACAGGUUGGGGGCUCUCCUGGACCCAGGAGGAGCUUACUACUCCUGAACCCCAUUCCAGUAAAUAGGAGGCCCAGCUGAAAGGUUGUUUCCCAAGAGAUUCUCAAGUCUCUCUUAUAUCCUUGAAAUAACUCACAAUCACUCGAGGCCACCUGAAUGAAGCCUCAAACAAUACAGAUGGGAACAGAGCCCCGGCUGGGGGUGUGAAUCUCCUGGGGAAUGUGCAGAGUGAGAAGGUUGUCUAGGAUGGAGCCCUAGUUAAUGCUGACUCUUAGGGGUGGACUGAAAUCCAGGACAAGGAGGAAGAGAAUGAGAGAGCGUGGUGAGGGAACAGGAGGGGCACUGAGAUGCCGGACUCAGAGUCUGAGCAGGAGAGCAUUUCAGAGGAAGCACCGGUCAACACAGAAAGCGCUGCCAAGUGACCAGGAAAGAAAAGACUGACACGUGUCCUUUGGACUUGGCAGCCUUGAGUCACUGGUGACCUUGGUGGGAGUCCUCUUAGGUGAAGGGGGAAGCUGGGCUGCGAGGAGCGAAGGGCUGAGUGGGAAUGAGAGGGGCAGAGCCUGCCUGGCAACAGCAGUUUUCCUCCUUUCUCUGCAUGGAGGAGGAGAGGGAGGGAGCUUUGGGGAGCAUAAGACCUGAACAGUUCAGUGGGUUGGAGGCGGCCUGUAAGAGACUGCUGAGCAGGAACGAGGGCUGAUGAGCUGUGAGUCUGCAUGGACAAGAGGUUUCCUCUAACAACCCUCGCCACCCAGAGGCAGGAGUAGAGAAGCUGCUCAAAGCACAAGCCGCAGAUGCCCAGGGUCCAGGCAGGGAGCAGCAGAAGGCGAGGGGAAGAAGAAAAGGGUGUUCGGGUUUUCCACAGGGGCUCUUGCUAUGAAGGGAGAGGGGCCAGGAGAGACUGGCUGACUGGGAGAAUUUCACAUACUCAUCACCUGGGAAGCAACUCUGGAUGCUAAAGAGCUUCAGUGCCCUGCCACGGGGAAGGGUGGAGGAGGCACUGGGGGCAUCCUGAGACUGAGAGGCAAUGUCUGCAGGUUGUUGAGGGGGUGAGGCAGUUCUCUGGGGGGAUAGAGGAACUGAAGUAGGGAGGAUGUCCCUGAGCUUGCACCCAGAUGGGCACGUGACGACCAGGGAGCAGCAAGGAGAAGGCAGGGGCUGGACUAGGACAAGGGGCAGGCGGAGGGGGCGGCGGGCAGAGGAAGCUCAAGGAGAAGACUGGGAGAGGGACAUGCAGGAUGCUGUGGUCAGAGACAUGGU